rnacentral:rRNA from 1 species
UGACGGUACCUGUUGAAUAAGCUCCGGCUAACUACGUGCCAGCAGCCGCGGUAAUACGUAGGGAGCAAGCGUUAUCCGGAUUUACUGGGUGUAAAGGGCGUGUAGGCGGAACUGCAAGUCAGAUGUGAAAACUGAGAGCUCAACUCUCAGCCUGCAUUUGAAACUGUAGUCCUUGAGUGUCGGAGAGGUUAACGGAACUCCUAGUGUAGCGGUGAAAUGCGUAGAUAUUAGGAAGAACACCAGUGGCGAAGGCGGUUAACUGGACGAUAACUGACGCUAAUGCGCGAAAGCGUGGGUAGCAAACAGGAUUAGAUACCCUG